CAUCCCCUGCUGGAUUACGGUUAAGUGCUACUAUUUAGUCUUACUACUAACUGCGGACCGUUACCCUUUGGCAUCAGAUUGGCGGGUUACUGCAUUAGAUAAGGCUUCACGUGGAAAUGCUACCAAGUUCAGUCAGUGCAAAGGCUUCAGGAAAACCCCUAAGGAUUGGCUUAAAGGUUACUGUUAGAGGCUAGCGUUUAGGAUGAAGAGUUACCAUAGUAGGUUAGGAUGAAGGGCUUCCCUUCAGUGACAGGUGAACGGUUACCACAUCGGAUUAGAGUUAACCAUAACCAAAAUGGGAAUCCUUCAGGGCUACCCUUUGCUGUUAGGACUAAGGGUGGCCCUUACUUGAUGAGGGCUAACCCUAUCCCUGUUGCGUUUACAGAAAAGGCUUAAGGGCUACCCAUUAGGAGGGUUAAACAUUACCUGUGUGUAUGGCAAACAGAUUGUAAGGCAAAUAGGUAAAGGAGCAGAGAGAUGAUCACAGUUCCAAAGGAGGAAUGACAUAAAAAGCUUACCCGUACCCUGGGCGCGCAGAAGGGCUCCACUAAGGGUGACCUCCAGGUAGAGAUCCUUCCUCCUUGGGAGUCAGCCCUUACAUGGGGUCUAGCAGGGCUGCAGCCAGGGUCCACCCCUUCCGGUCACUCAGCUGAAACUGCCAUCACCUGUGCCCCUGCAGCUGACUCAGCACUCGCCUCAGGUGGUCAAACAGAGGGUCAGGCUGUGAUUAUACAGUUCCCAUACACCUGUGUGAUUUAGAGUUCAGACUUGUGGUUUAUACAUUUGGAUUAGUGUUAGGAGCUACAAUUUCUAGUACAAGAGAAAGGAAUAGAAACGCUGCUAGGAAAAAAAUACAGUGCAAAGAAAGGAACAGCAAAGAAAAAAAAGAGCACCAAACUGAAAAAAAGAACAAAAAAACCCCACGCACAUCAAAGAAAGCCAAUAACAAUAAAUGAAACAACAACAAACACCACAUUCAAAAACAAGCAACCAACGAUAACAGAACAG
rnacentral:lncRNA from 1 species